CCUACGGGACGCAGCAGUAGGGAAUCUUCCACCAUGGGCGAAAGCCUGAUGGAGCAACGCCGCGUGGGUGAAGAAGUAUUUCGGUAUGUAAAGCUCUAUCAGCAGGGAAGAUAAUGACGGUACCUGACUAAGAAGCCCCGGCUAACUACGUGCCAGCAGCCGCGGUAAUACGUAGGGGGCAAGCGUUAUCCGGAUUUACUGGGUGUAAAGGGAGCGUAGGUGGCAGGGCAAGUCAGAUGUGAAAACCCGGGGCUCAACUCCGGGAGUGCAUUUGAAACUGUCCAGCUAGAGUGCAGGAGAGGUAA
rnacentral:rRNA from 1 species